rnacentral:rRNA from 1 species
CUGGACUGUAACUGACGCUGAGGCACGAAAGCGUGGGGAGCAAACAGGAGUAGAUACCCUGGUAGUCCACGCUGUAAACGAUGAGUACUAGGUGUCGGGGGUUACCCCCUUCGGUGCCGCAGCUAACGCAUUAAGUACUCCGCCUGGGAAGUACGCUCGCAAGAGGGAAACUCAAAGGAAUUGACGGGGACCCGCACAAGUAGCGGAGCAUGUGGUUUAAUUCGAAGCAACGCGAAGAACCUUACCUAAGCUUGACAUCCCAAUGACAUCUCCUUAAUCGGAGAGUUCCCUUCGGGGAC